rnacentral:rRNA from 1 species
UACGAAGGGGGCUAGCGUUGUUCGGAAUUACUGGGCGUAAAGCGCACGUAGGCGGACUGUUAAGUCAGGGGUGAAAUCCCGGGGCUCAACCCCGGAACUGCCUUUGAUACUGGCAUUCUCGAGUCCGGAAGAGGUGAGUGGAAUUCCGAGUGUAGAGGUGAAAUUCGUAGAUAUUCGGAGGAACACCAGUGGCGAAGGCGGCUCACUGGUCCAUUACUGACGCUGAGGUGCGAAAGCGUGGGGAGCAAACAGG